GUUGGUAGCAAAUGUCCUUGUAACGGAUAGCUUUCCCUUUUAUGUGGAUGGGUCCUCACUCCUCAUAAGGAAACAACCCCAAACUUCCACUAAACAAAAAUGGUCGUUGAUCAUGCUCUGCUUCUUGUUGGGUCAGAUUUAGAUAGCUUUCAUUGAGCCAUAGUCCACGGCUUUAUCCUUUUGCAAGAGCUUCAGAUUAACGAAAACAAAUUUUGUCGACGAUGUUUCCCCUAGCCGGGCCAUAUUGGAUUUUCAGGUUUUGUUACAUGCAAAUUUGAAGCAAAUUCAGUAUGGAUGAUGGUUCCUUUAAACCUGAUUCUGUCUCUGGGAGCUUCUCGGGCACUGCCAUGGAUUUGGAUUUCAUAGAUGAACUCUUGUAUGAUGGAUGCUGGUUGGAGAGUACUGAUGGAUUAAAAAUUUCACAGCCAGGCCUGUCAUCCUCUACUGUUCCAAAUGACUCUUCACAGUAUUUUCCUUUUGUGGAGUCCAACAGUAGUCUUUUGAGUGCAAACCUUAAUCAGCAAAUCCACCGAGAAGCAACGAAAAAUAACUUUCCUGAAAACCCACCUCUUAGUAUUCCCAAAGUGGAACAAAUUGCUGACAAUGAAUCUCAAAACCAGAAUUCUGUCAAGAUUACAACAUCUUCAGUAUCUGAAGGUUUGCUGAAGGAAGGAAGUGAAUUGGGCACAAGCUUGUGGAUUGGACCAAGGGCAGAUCCUGGACCAUCUUCUUCCGUAGAAAAGAGAUUAAUGCAUGCUAUUGGACAGUUGAAAGAAUGCACAAAAGAUAGGGAAGUCCUUGUUCAGAUAUGGGUGCCGACAAAGAAAGAAGGCAAGCAUGUCCUUACAACUAUUGACCAGCCAUGCUUCCUUAGUCUAAAGUGUGAAAGUCUUGCAAGUUAUAGAAAUGUUUCAGAAAGUUAUCAUUUCCCAUUGGAGGGGAAUUCAAAAGAGUCACUUGGUUUGCCUGGUCGGGUUUUCUUGGGAAAAUUGCCUGAGUCGACUCCAGACGUUCGCUUCUUCAGAAAUGAUGAAUACCCACGUAGAAAUUAUGCAAAGCGAUAUAACAUUAGUGGGUCUCUUGCAGUUCCAAUCUUUGAAAGAGGUACUGGGACUUGCUUGGGGGUUGUUGAGGUUGUAACAACCUCCCAAUAUAUUAAUUAUCGUCCAGAGCUAGAAACUAUCUGCAAAGCUCUUGAGGUCUCUUCUUAAUCUUCCUCUUCCUCUCAUGUAUCUUUAAAAAAAAAAAAGCACUACCAUUGGAUGGGAGCUAUAAACAUUAAUCUUGAUGGAAGAACAAUGGAACUAAGACAUAUUAAUACUUGCUCUGAUCUGUAAGUCUGCAAAAUGUACAAAUUUCACUUCAAGUAUCUGAGCAUUUUUCUCAUGAAAAACACCAUGGCAGCUUCCUCGGUCAAUCUUAGUUUGAGCAUGUACUCCUCUCCAUUGUAAUUAUACAUGUGAUGAUUUGCCUGGACAGUAGAAGUGACACUAGGCUUCAUCCUUUGUGUUUCUCAGUAUUCUGCUAUUUUUUGUUUGCCAAAAUUUUCCUUUAUUUGGUUGUUAUUGGUUACUAUUACUGCUUUCUUCAAUGCCUUUCUUAUUCGCUAUGCAUUGACUUUUCAUGUUUUUUAAAUAACCUUAGAAAAUGAACAUUUCAAAAGUACCAAUGGUUAUUACUUUAUUUGUAAUAUGAAUCAUCAGACCAUCAUACUUUAAUGGAUAAUUUAGUCUAAUACUAUAUUUAUUUCCAGGCUGUUGAUCUAAGGAGUUCUCAAGACUUCUGCCCUCCAAGUGUAAAGGCUUGUAAAGAGUUUUGCCAAGCAGCAGUUCCAGAAAUAUCAGAGAUUUUGGGAUCUGUAUGCAAAACACAUAAGUUACCUUUAGCUCUGACGUGGGCCCCAUGUUUUCAGCAAGGGAAAGGCGGAUGUCGACAUUUUGAUGAAAAUUUUGCUAAUUGUAUUUCAACUGUGGAUUCUGCUUGCUUUGUAGAUGAUAGAGAAUUUUUAGUAUUCCAUGUGGCAUGCUCUGAGCAGUUCCUUUCUCUAGGUCAAGGAAUUGUUGGGAAAGCUUUUGUGACAAACAAACAGUGUUUUGCAAGUGAUAUAACUGCCUUUUCCAAGACAGAUUAUCCUCUAUCUCACCAUGCUAAGGUGCUUGGUUUGGAUGCUGCUGUUGCAAUUCCUUUGCGAAGCACCAAUGAUGGAUCAACUGAUUUUGUAUUGGAGCUAUUCUUGCCAAAAGACUGCCGAGAUACUGAAGAACAAAAGCGGAUGCAGGACUUGUUGCCCAUUGCCAUACAACAAGCUUGUUGGAGUUUACAAGUUAUCAUGGACAAGGAGCCAGAGGAAGAUAUCAACUGGCAAAUGGCUAUUGCUUCAGAUGAAAGACAUAAUAAAAAAGAAAGUCAUAUGUUUGUGUCUUCUUCAUUUAACGAAUCUUAUCCAGAAAGGUCAUCCUGGAUUGCCCAGAUGUUGGAGGCUCAGCAGAAGGGUAAAAGUCUCUGUGUUUCAUCGGACAGUCCAAAAGGACCAAAAGAAGAGUUUAAGGUAGCAACUCAUUGGGAUGACACUCUAGAGAAAUUAUACCAAAAGCAGGUUUUUGCAGAAUCUGGACAACUUCAGCAAAAUUCUGGACACAAAGAUAGUACUGAGGGUGGCAUCAAUUCUUCUUUUGCUGGCCAGCAGUCAUCAGGCAGCAGAAAGGUAGGUGAGAAGAGACGGACCAAGACAGAGAAGACAAUCAGCUUGGAAGUUCUUCGACAGUACUUUGCAGGGAGCCUUAAGGAUGCUGCUAAGAGUAUUGGCGUGUGCCCCACCACUUUGAAAAGGAUAUGCAGGCAACACGGUAUCACCCGUUGGCCUUCUCGAAAGAUUAAGAAGGUUGGCCACUCAUUAAAGAAACUCCAACUUGUGAUCGAUUCCGUCCAAGGUGCUGAAGGAGCCAUUCAGAUUGGUUCCUUUUAUGCAACUUUUCCAGAAUUGACCUCUCCAAGUUUUUGCAGAAAUGAUCCUUUCCCAUCGUUAAAGAUGAAUGACAAUCUGGAGCCUUUAAACCCUCAACCUGAGGUUGGCAUAUCCAAUGCUGUAGCCGCUGCUUCAAAAUCCCCUUCCUCAUCAUGUAGUCAAAGCUCUGGAUCAAGCAUCUCUUGUUCAACAAGAACAAAGGAGCAUGCAAUCACCAACAUUGCUUUGAAUGCUGAAGAUGCCUUAGCAAUAAAAGACUUGGGAGGUGUUCUCAAAAGAACACGUAGUGAUGCAGAACUACAUGCCUUGUAUCGUGAGGAACCCAAGCCUCUUGCUAGAUCUCAAAGCCAUAAAAUACUGGGAGAUGGUCCAAGUCUUGAUCAGAUUCUUCUCCCCUUCACAAAAAGAAGGGGCAAGAGUUUACGAGAAAGUGGUGCUUUUAGAGUUAAAGCCAACUUUGGAGAAGACAAAGUCCGGUUCAGCCUGCAACCAAGUUGGGGUUUCAAGGAAUUGCAGCAAGAACUUGCAAAGCGAUUCAAUAUAAACGAUGUCUGCAGAAUUGAUCUUAAGUAUUUGGAUGAUGAUCAUGAAUGGGUUCUUCUGACUUGUGAUGCUGAUCUUGAGGAGUGUAAAGACAUUUAUAGAUUGUCUCAGAGCCACACGAUCAAAUUAUCUGUACAAAAAGCUUCGCAGAACCUUCGGUAGUUGCAGUGGGGAUUAAGAGGCAACUUCAUAUUUGAUGAAUCUUGGCUUGAUGUUAUAGGGGCUAGCAACUUGUGAAAUGGGAGGAGAUUCCAACUAGGAAUCUUUUCAGUUUAUUGUUCAUAAAACAGCUAUUGAAUCUUGUUCUAUAGUUCAGUGGCUAUUUAGAUGGAAAUAAAGAUAUGAAUAUGGGAAUCAUUGGUUCAGAAAUCAUUGGUUUAGAGGAGGUCCAAUGGCUGCAUAUAAAUCCUGUAAUUAGAUCUGUAGCCCUGGACUUUUAUUUAGUGGAUAGAUGGUUUGAUGCUUUACUUUUGUAUGAUAUAUGAGUAUUUGGUCGGGGGUUAGAUGGUUUAAAACUGAAACGAACUGUGUAGCCAUAUUUUAUAUGGAAGCAAGUUUUGAUUUGCUAAUUUUUGUAAGGGCUAAUUAUAUUUUUUUAAACAUUCUAUUGAUUUUAGUUUAAAUUAUUUAAUGGAAAUGUACAUUUAAAAUUUGCCAAA
rnacentral:misc_RNA from 1 species